GGGAGAUGAACUCCAUGACCUCAAACUUCAAAUCAAUGAUUCUAUGAUUUCUGAAGCUUAGGUAUUUCUCUCUUUCCCUUCCUCCUUUCUCUCUUCCUCUAUGCCACUGGAUGACUGCUUUAGUCACAUACGUGCUUGGCCCUCUCCUUUGCCUUUUUAUCAGUCUCCAGAAAUGCACAGACUGAUAGACUAUAGAAUGUUAGCAGAAAAGGACCUUAGGGAUCUCCUAGUCCAAUCCUCUCAUUUUAUAGAUGGGGAAACUGAGGCCCAGGGAGGUGAAUUAAUUUGUGCAAGAUCACACAAGCAAUUACUUCUAGAGCCAGGGCUUAAAUCCAAGUUUCUUGACACCCACUUGAAAGCUGUUUCCUGACAGAAGGGUACUGUAAUGUAAUAGAAAGAACACUGGGAGUCAGGAGAUCCAGGUUUUUAACCCUGGAUCUAAUACUGACUGUGUGACCUUGAGUAGGAUCUGAAAUCUAGGACUGGAAGUCAACUCCAGAGGCCUUCUAGUCUAGCCUUCUUAUUUUGCAAAUGAGGAAACUGAGACCCUUUAAGAAGGAAGUCACUUGAUGUUAGUGAGGUUUAGUCUAUAAAAUGAAGAUAGCAAUCCUUCAGUUACCUACUUCCCAGAGUUGUUAUGAGAAAAGUGCUUUGUAAACAUUAAAAGUGCUCCAUCAAUGUGAGUUAGGAUUACCUUCCUGCAAAACCAAGAUCUCUGUGUUGAGUGUUGCUAUCAGUCGUUGCCUUUUCUGGGCACAGUAGGUUCAUUAUUUUACUUGCUUUCUCACUGCUUUGAAAAACAUGUCCUGAGCCUUCCACAUUUCUCAGUCAGAGAGGGUCCUCAGGGACUCUUCUGAUGGAUAAAUUUCAUCAAAGUUGCCUUUGUAUCAAACAGAGCUCAGUUUAACACAACCUUGCAAAUAGCUACCCCCAUCCAUCUCUCCUCCUGCCGUGGUACCAGCCUGCCACCAUUUAAAUUUUUUUUAAACCACUUCACCUUCCUUCUGGGAGCUGAACAAAUGAAAUCAAUAUCCUUUAUUAUUCACUGUCCCUGAACAGAGAGGUUAAAGCCUGAGUAUUUGUUCAACAGGGCAUAGUCUAGGUAGGAGAUGUCAUUGCCUUAAGAACUCUGUUUUAAGUCUACUUCAGACUGGCCGCCACUCUCCUUGAAAUGAUAUGACCAGAACAAGGUGCCUCAGCUGACACUUCAUCAGGAGCUGAAGAAUCCAUGUUAUCAGUCAACUCUCUACUGCAUGGCACAGUAGGAGACACCAGGUCACCAGGACAUCUGGAAUUGACUUCUGAAGCCCCAGAAAACAGAAGCAAUAGAGAACCAUUGAGGUUUCUGGAACAAGGAUGUGGUAGCUGUAUAGAGGAUGGAUUGGGAAAGGAUGAGGCUGAAGAAAGGAAGAUUCAUUAGGAGCAAGUCCAAUCUCAAGUUUGGCUCUAUGCAUCAGAUCAUCAAAAAGUCGUGGGGAGAAUGUGCUCGGGCCCUCCACACAGCGCUUCUCAAAUCCACUAAAAUCAACACAAUAAUUGAAAUAUUUUCAAGCUGAUUACACCGCAGCCCGAGGCUAGGCUGGUUGCUAAGGGUAAGCUCCCCGGUUGCUAGGGGGAGUAAAUCAUCUUGCAUUAUUUGAUUUUUGUUAUAGAUAUGAAACCGCUACUCCCUCGAUUAAAUGUCUCUCAGUCUAA